rnacentral:rRNA from 1 species
CCCUUAGAUGUUCUGGGCCGCACGCGCGCUACACUGUUCGACGCAGCGAGUCUUAACCUUGACCGAAAGGUUUGGGUAAUCUUCAGCAAAGUCGAACGUGAUGGGGAUCGAUCAUUGCAAUUAUUGAUCGUGAACGAGGAAUUCCUAGUAAGUGCAAGUCAUCAGCUUGCGCUGAUUACGUCCCUGCCCUUUGUACACACCGCCCGUCGCUACUACCGAUUGAAUGGUUUAGUGAGGCCUUCGGAUCCGCGACUCGUUUGUGGAGAAGUUGGACAAACUCAGUCAUUUAGAGGAAGUAAAAGUCGUAACA